rnacentral:rRNA from 1 species
UACGGGGGGGGGCAAGCGUUGUUCGGAAUUACUGGGCGUAAAGGGCUCGUAGGCGGCCAACUAAGUCAGACGUGAAAUCCCUCGGCUUAACCGGGGAACUGCGUCUGAUACUGGAUGGCUUGAAUCCGGGAGAGGGAUGCGGAAUUCCAGGUGUAGCGGUGAAAUGCGUAGAUAUCUGGAGGAACACCGGUGGCGAAGGCGGGUCUCUGGGCCGAUACUGACGCUGAGAAGCGAAAGCGUGGGGAGCGAACAGG